rnacentral:rRNA from 1 species
AUUGAACGCUGGCGGCAUGCUUUACACAUGCAAGUCGAACGGCAGCGCGGGCUUCGGCCUGGCGGCGAGUGGCGAACGGGUGAGUAAUACAUCGGAACGUGCCCAGUAGUGGGGGAUAGCUCGGCGAAAGCCGGAUUAAUACCGCAUACGACCUGAGGGUGAAAGCGGGGGAUCUUCGGACCUCGCGCUAUUUGAGCGGCCGAUGGCAGAUUAGCUAGUUGGUGGGGUAAAGGCCUACCAAGGCGACGAUCUGUAGCUGGUCUGAGAGGACGACCAGCCACACUGGGACUGAGCCACGGCCCAGACUCCUACGGGAGGCAGCAGUGGGGAAUUUUGGACAAUGGGCGAAAGCCUGAUCCAGCAAUGCCGCGUGUGUGAUGAAGGCCUUCGGGUUGUAAAGCACUUUUGGCGGGAACGAAAAGGACUGUGCCAAUACCACGGUUCGAUGACGGUACCCGCAGAAUAAGCACCGGCUAACUACGUG